CCUAUGGGAACAUAACAGAGUCAGCUCCCGAGUGCCCGGCUUGGGCGCCUCUGCUUCUGCUGCUGCGCACCGGGGCGGCUGGCCGCGCUUUGCCGUCGGCGCUAAGGAGGAAAUAAACAGGCAAAGGUGGACGUACUAGCAUUGGAUCUGCAUUUACAAAUGUAGCUGCAUGAUUCAGAUCAGAAAUUAUUUGUGCCCCACUGGCUCACAGCAUGGUUGAAAUUAGUAUGACAACUUCCUCAUAACCCUACAUCAAGGUCUUUUCUCCCAUAUCUAGCUGUAAAUCUUUUUCCUAUUUUCAGUGAUUUCUUCUUUUGUUUCUGCAGAUAGCACAACACAUUUUGGAAAUAAUAUUUAUCAAUUUGAAAUGAACAUUCAAUAGUCAAGGGAAAUGUGAAAACCCUUAAAGUUUGAAAAUCACAAUUUUUUUCUCACUUUUGAUUAGAGAGUGCCUAAUGAAAAAGUUGCACAAAGUUACUACUGACUUCCUAACAGCUCUGUGCUGAAAUCCAGUAUGU